rnacentral:siRNA from 1 species
CGACUCUCGGCAACGGAUAUCUC